AAUCUGUCCCUGACGCCCUCUUUCUCCCCAGAUCGGACCCAACACAGACAGCGUCAGUGCAAGCUUCCACCACCCCGCCUCCCCCCCAUGUGUGUCACCCCCACCCCUGGAGGGACCAUCUCUCGAGGUAAGGGGCUUGGGUGUGGGUGGCCGGUAGCUUGGGAACCA
rnacentral:sRNA from 1 species